rnacentral:rRNA from 1 species
AUUGAACGCUGGCGGCAUGCCUUACACAUGCAAGUCGAACGGUAACGGGUCCUUCGGGAUGCCGACGAGUGGCGAACGGGUGAGUAAUAUAUCGGAACGUGCCCAGUAGUGGGGGAUAACUGCUCGAAAGAGCAGCUAAUACCGCAUACGACCUGAGGGUGAAAGGGGGGGAUCGGAAGACCUCUCGCUAUUGGAGCGGCCGAUAUCAGAUUAGCUAGUUGGUGGGGUAAAGGCCUACAAAGGCAACGAUCUGUAGUUGGUCUGAGAGGACGACCAGCCACACUGGGACUGAGACACGGCCCAGACUCCUACGGGAGGCAGCAGUGGGGAAUUUUGGACAAUGGGCGCAAGCCUGAUCCAGCAAUGCCGCGUGCAGGAAGAAGGCCUUCGGGUUGUAAACUGCUUUUGUCAGGGAAGAAAUCUUCUGGGCUAAUACCCCGGGAGGAUGGCGGUACCUGAAGAAUAAGCACCGGCUAACUACGUGCCAGCAGCCGCGGUAA